UACGGAGGGGGCUAGCGUUGUUCGGAAUUACUGGGCGUAAAGCGCACGUAGGCGGCUUUGCAAGUUAGAGGUGAAAGCCCGGGGCUCAACUCCGGAAUUGCCUUUAAAACUGCAUCGCUAGAAUUGUGGAGAGGUAAGUGGAAUUCCGAGUGUAGAGGUGAAAUUCGUAGAUAUUCGGAAGAACACCAGUGGCGAAGGCGACUUACUGGACACAUAUUGACGCUGAGGUGCGAAAGCGUGGGGAGCAAACAG
rnacentral:rRNA from 1 species